GUCUUGGCAAGACGUAUACAAAAAUUGGAAUGAUACAGAGAAGAUCUGCAUGGCACCUGCUCAAGGAUGCCAUGCAAAUAUGGGAAGCGCUUGUUUAAAAUGCUU
rnacentral:snRNA from 1 species